GCCCUUAUAGCUCAGUGGUAGAGCGUUGCACUUGUAAUGCAAAGGUCCAUCGUUCAAUCCGGUGUGGGGGCA
rnacentral:tRNA from 1 species